UAGGGAAUCUUCGGCAAUGGACGAAAGUCUGACCGAGCAACGCCGCGUGAGUGAAGAAGGUUUUCGGAUCGUAAAACUCUGUUGUUAGAGAAGAACAAGGACGUUAGUAACUGAACGUCCCCUGACGGUAUCUAACCAGAAAGCCACGUCUAACUACGUGCCAGCAGCCGCGGUAAUACGUAGGUGGCAAGCGUUGUCCGGAUUUAUUGGGCGUAAAGCGAGCGAAGGCGGUUUCUUAAGUCUGAUGUGAAAGCCCCCGGCUCAACCGGGGAGGGUCAGUGGAAACUGGGAGACUUGAGUGCAGAAGAGGAGAGUGGAAUUCCAUGUGUAGCGGUGAAAAGCGUAGAUAUAUGGAGGAACACCAGUGGCGAAGGCGGCUCUCUGGUCUGUAACUGACGCUGAGGCUCGAAAGCGUGGGGAGCAAACAGG
rnacentral:rRNA from 1 species